rnacentral:rRNA from 1 species
UGUGCCAGCCGCCGCGGUAAUUCCAGCUCCAAUAGCGUAUAUUAAAGUUGUUGCAGUUAAAAAGCUCGUAGUUGAACCUUGGGUUCGGCUGGCCGGUCCGCCUCACCGCGAGUACUGGUCCGGCUGGACCUUUCCUUCUGGGGAACCUCAUGGCCUUCACUGGCUGUGGGGGGAACCAGGACUUCUACUGUGAAAAAAUUAGAGUGUUCAAAGCAGGCCUUUGCUCGAAUACAUUAGCAUGGAAUAAUAGAAUAGGACGUGCGGUUCUAUUUUGUUGGUUUCUAGGACCGCCGUAAUGAUUAAUAGGGAUAGUCGGGGGCGUCAGUAUUCAGCUGUCAGAGGUGAAAUUCUUGGAUUUGCUGAAGACUAACUACUGCGAAAGCAUUCGCCAAGGAUGUUUUCAUUAAUCAGGGAACGAAAGUUAGGGGAUCGAAGACGAUCAGAUACCGUCGUAGUCUUAACCAUAAACUAUGCCGACUAGGGAUCGGACGGGAUUCUAUUAUGACCCGUUCGGCACCUUACGAGAAAUCAAAGUUUUUGGGUUCUGGGGGGAGUAUGGUCGCAAGGCUGAAACUUAAAGAGAUUGACGGAAGGGCACCACAAGGCGUGGAGCCUGCGGCUUAAUUUGACUCAACACGGGGAAACUCACCAGGUCCAGACAAAAUAAGGAUUGACAGAUUGAGAGCUCUUUCUUGAUCUUUUGGAUGGUGGUGCAUGGCCGUUCUUAGUUGGUGGAGUGAUUUGUCUGCUUAAUUGCGAUACGAACGAGACCUCGGCCCUUAAAUAGCCCGGUCCGCAUUUGCGGGCCGCUGGCUUCUUUAGGGGGA